rnacentral:lncRNA from 10 species
CCGCGAGCCCCUCUGCUCAUCGCUCGUUACCCCCCAGGCCCUUGGGCUUGGGCUCAGGCCCAGUCGUUCCUCUGCAACAAAUCCAAUGGAACCGCGCCCUCCCUGAAUCCCACGUCUAGGAAGAGGAGGAGGAGCCCCUCUUGCUUGGGGGAAGGGGCUCCCGACUCGGAGCCCCGAGCCCCAUUCCUCUCCCGCGCCAGCUCUUCGGGACGCGGCCUCCCAGCGGACGCCCUGAGACCUUGCAAGUCCGCUAGGGAGGGGUCGGGACGAGCCGUCGCGGGUGGAUCCGCCCGGCCGAGCAACGACCCGCCCGGGCGCGAGGACCACGGGCUGUCGUGCGGGAGGCGUCGAGGGGCAGUAAACUCCGUUCGUGACCAAACGGAGACGAUUUGAAACUUGCUGCUCACACUGGAUCACCGUCUGGAAGCUGACGGAGGGGUUCCCACUCUCAUGUGAUGGCAGUGGCCAAACACAACACCUGACACUGGGCAGGUGAGAUUUACCGCAGUUUAUUAGUUACAACAUACUCAAUGGGAAAGGACACCACAAGCCACGCAGGGCCACACAGGGGGUGUACUCAGGAGUGGAGAGAACAACCAGGGGUUGUGGAGGGCAGGCUUUGUAGUGAUAAGAGAGUGAGGUGCUCCCUGGUUCCUGCAUGGGAGGUAACUGGCUUGUUUGAAUAAUUCUACAGGCUGGCAGGGAACUGAAGCCUACUACUAAGAGAUAAGCAGGAACUGCUCCUGGUUCAUUUGAUGAAAGGAUUGGCUAGGGGACCUUACCCACAGAACACAGCAGGAGGGCAGCUUACAGCUAGACCAUUUGAGGCCCUCUUGAUUUUACCAGAAGUCAA